rnacentral:rRNA from 1 species
AACGAACGCUGGCGGCAGGCCUAACACAUGCAAGUCGAGCGAGCAUUUCGGUGCUAGCGGCGGACGGGUGAGUAACGCGUGGGAACGUGCCCUUUUCUGCGGAAUAGUCCUGGGAAACUGGGGGUAAUACCGCAUACGCCCUUUUGGGGAAAGAUUUAUCGUAGAAGGAUCGGCCCGCGUUGGAUUAGGUAGUUGGUGGGGUAAUGGCCCACCAAGCCGACGAUCCAUAGCUGGUUUGAGAGGAUGAUCAGCCACACUGGGACUGAGACACGGCCCAGACUCCUACGGGAGGCAGCAGUGGGGAAUCUUAGACAAUGGGGGCAACCCUGAUCUAGCCAUGCCGCGUGAGUGAUGAAGGCCUUAGGGUUGUAAAGCUCUUUCAGCUGGGAAGAUAAUGACGGUACCAGCAGAAGAAGCCCCGGCUAACUCCGUG